rnacentral:rRNA from 1 species
GAACGGGUGAGUAAUGUAUCGGAACGUGCCCAGUAGCGGGGGAUAACUGGCCGAAAGGUCAGCUAAUACCGCAUACGCCCUACGGGGGAAAGGGGGGGAUUCUUCGGAACCUCUCACUAUUGGAGCGGCCGAUAUCGGAUUAGCUAGUUGGUGGGGUAAUGGCCUACCAAGGCGACGAUCCGUAGCUGGUUUGAGAGGACGACCAGCCACACUGGGACUGAGACACGGCCCAGACUCCUACGGGAGGCAGCAGUGGGGAAUUUUGGACAAUGGGGGAAACCCUGAUCCAGCCAUCCCGCGUGUGCGAUGAAGGCCUUCGGGUUGUAAAGCACUUUUGUCAGGGAAGAAAAGGUUCUGGCUAAUACCCGGAACUGAUGACGGUACCUGAAGAAUAAGCACCGGCUAACUACGUGCCAGCAGCCGCGGUAAUACGUAGGGUGCAAGCGUUAAUCGGAAUUACUGGGCGUAAAG